GAUGAACGCUGGCGGCGUGCCUAAUACAUGCAAGUCGAGCGAACAGACGAGGAUUUUGCUCCUCGGACGUUAGGGGCGGACGGGUGAGUAACACGUGGUUAACCUACCUAUAAGACUGGGAUAACUUAGGGAAGCGGGAGUUAAUACCGGAAAUUAUAUUGAGUCGCAUGGUUGAUUAGUGAAAGACGGUUUUGCGGUCAGUUAUAGAUGGGUCCGCGCUGCAUUGGCUAGUUGGUAGGUUACCGGCUUAGCAAGGGAAGGAUGCGUAGCCGACCUGAGAGCGUGGUGGGUGGCCGGGGACAGUGGACCCGGUCCACGCUCCAGAGGGAGGCAGCAGUAGGGAAUCGUCCGCAAUGGGCGAAAGCCUGACGCAGGAACGCGGCGUGAGUCAUGAGGGACUUCGGAUCGUGAAACUCUGUUAUUAGUCGAUAACAAGUGUGGACGUGACUAUGCAGGUCUUGACGGUAACUGGUAAAGAAGCCCCGGCUAACUACGUG
rnacentral:rRNA from 1 species